UACGGAGGGUGCAAGCGUUGUCCGGAAUCACUGGGCGUAAAGGGCGCGUAGGCGGCGCACCAAGUCAGGCGUGAAAGCCCUGGGCUCAACCCGGGAAUUGCGCUUGAGACUGGUGUGCUUGAGUACGGGAGAGGAUAGUGGAAUUCCCAGUGUAGAGGUGAAAUUCGUAGAUAUUGGGAAGAACACCGGUGGCGAAGGCGGCUAUCUGGACCGUAACUGACGCUGAGGCGCGAAAGCGUGGGGAGCAAACAGG
rnacentral:rRNA from 1 species